CAUCCACAGAGCUAAUGAAGGUUGGUUUCCUGCAGAUGGGUGUGUUGCAUUCCUGAAGCACACCUUAACCUUGUACUGAAUUCCUUUCGUGUUCUCUGAACACUCCUGCAUCUCCUGCCUCUUUGCCUGAGAGUGGCAGCAUGUUCUGAGUGUUCUUCACCCAAGUGGAGCUAUUUGAAAAGGAAAGAAUAAGCAAAGAAGAACAAAUGUGGGCAAGUAUUCUACAAUUACCAGCCAAGAGACAGGAUCAGGCUUGCAUCUUUGCUGUCAAAAAAUGGAAAUGACUGGACAGGAAUUGUGUCAGCAGACAAUACAGCCAGAGAAUACCAGUUCAAAUAUAUAGAAGAUGGUGGCAGAUAAAAGGACACAGACUGCACCAAAUAAAAUACACCUUGAACCUGUGAAGAGGUAGAAG
rnacentral:lncRNA from 14 species